rnacentral:sRNA from 1 species
CUGCUAUAUCACACAAAAUUUCCAGUAAAAGUGUACAAAUUAAGAGCUCAUUAAUUGUUGGAAGUAGCCCUGGGUUUAAUUGCUCUGAUGUCCUAACUAAUGAUGAUCCCAAUAUUGAACUCACUGCUGCUCAUCGGAGUCCUAGAUCUCCAUCAGGUGAAAAAUUUGAAACUUUAAUGUUAUUGUUCAUACGAGUGCAUAUUCAAUUUUCAUUAACUUUUUUUUUUGGUAAAAGGUGGGAGAAGUGGGAUUUGUUGGCCUACCUUUGCUUCAGCUCAUAACAUGGCACCCCGAAAGCCCCAUGCAGGGAUCAUGAGUUACAAUGCCAUCAGUGGCCUUUUGGACAUCUCAGGCAAGUACACAGUCUUUUACAAAUCUUCUCAAUUAAUUUCUGUAGAGAAUAUGUAGAGGAUAACUAAUAAUGUUUCACUGUUAGUAAAAAUGAUUUAAGUGAAUUUUUAUAGCAAUCUGCUCAAUAUGACAAAGAAAUCAGACAUCAGAGUCAAUUUUGAGAAUGGUUUCUUGGCAGGAUUCUUAUACUGUAUGUUGAAGAAUUGAUGUUAAAUUUUCCUUCUAAAACAACAACGACAAAACACUGGCAUUUGUGAUUUAAUAUGAAUUAAUUUGUAUAAUUUGUAAAUGCCCUUUCAUGUAAGUAGGAUUAUAUAUUAUCAUCCCCUUUUAAAAUUGAAGAACCUUAAGCUCAAAGAACUUAGUGCCUGGCCAAAUUCCCACAGCUAUUGGCACAGCUAGGAUUAGAAUCAAAAUCUUCUGAUUCAAACUCCACUGCUCUUUCACUGAACCAGGAUGGCUGCUUAGAAAUGUAAAAUAAUUAUAUAUAAAUUAAUGUAGUAAACACAUCAAUUAUUUUCAUUUGGCCUAUUAAAUAACAC